rnacentral:rRNA from 1 species
AACGAACGCUGGCGGCAGGCCUAACACAUGCAAGUCGAGCGAGACCUUCGGGUCUAGCGGCGGACGGGUGGGUAACGCGUGGGAACGUGCCCUUUUCUACGGUAUAGCCUCGGGAAACUGAGCGUAAUAACGUAUACGCCCUUUGGGGGAAAGAUGUAUCGGAGAAGGAUCGGCCCGCGUUGGAUUCGGUAGUUGGUGGGGUAAUGGCCUAUCAAGCCUACGAUCCAUAGCUGGUUUGAGAGGAUGAUCAGCCACACUGGGGCUGAGACACGGCCCAGACUCCUACGGGAGGCAGCAGUGGGGAAUCUUAGACAACGGGGGCAGCCCUGAUCUAGCCAUGCCGGGUGAGUGAUGAAGGCCUUAGGGUUGUAAGGCUCUUUCAGCUGGGAAGAUAAUGACGGUACCAGCAGAAGAAGCCCCGGCUAACUCCGUG